AGAAGACAUAUGAGUUUUGACUAAUAGGAAUGGCGAUACUCGAACUCCUGGGGUAUUCAAUGGAAGCUUCAAAAAGAUAUUACCUCAUUUGAUCUUUGUAUACACCUCAUUAGAUACUGACAGCUAUUCAACAAAUAAAGAAAAAGAGGCAUAGAAAAUUUGGAUAACUUACUAAAGUCAUUGAGACAACAGACAGCCAAGGCAUUGGCACAGUCUUUGGACAUGAAAAUCAUGGAGAAGGAAGAGGCUGAUUGUUAUCCAUGAUUAGGCAGUGCAGAUAUAGCUCAAUAUUCCAAAUGGGAUGUUUUGGCCUUGGAGUUAAGUUCCAAGAGCAUUAUAAAAUAAUCACCUGUAUAGGAAGUCCUGACUUAACUCUAUUAACAACUUCGAAAGUCACAUACCUGAAGAUGAUCCUGCAUGUCCAUAGAGCCUAGGUCCCUCAAAAGAUGGUGUUGCAAUGACAGAAAUUGAGACAUCAAGAGAACGUUUAGCAGAAUAAGUUAGUUAAGAUGUAGGUGUGUCGAAAGUUUCAGGUGUCAGUAAACAUCAAAAGAAAAUGUAGCAGUAGCUAGAAAUUUCCAGGCUGAAGAUGAAGGUUAAAGCUAAAGAUAGACUAUUUUUGUCAUCUACAUGGAAGAUGAUGGCUAAAGCUAUAAGAGUGAAUGACAUCAGCAAGGAAGAAAAUACAGGAAUAAGGAAGAAGAGAUGGUGAAAUGGCUACUCGUAAGGAGUGGGAGAAAGAAUAAAUGAGAAGAAAAUGAAGAAUGUGUGGCCAAGAACAUAGGAGAAAAGCCAGGAAGAUCAAUGUCUUAUCAACAGACAGAUUUGAGCAGCAGGCUGGGAGAAGGGUCCACACAAAAAUUCUGAGAUGGAGAUGAUGGCUAAAGUUAGAGUUCACAUUGGAUGACUUUGAACUCAGUAAACUAGGUGAAUUUGCCAGAAGAUAUGAAGCUGUGGGAACUUGGAAGCCCAGGACACUAUGAUAUUGAUUACAGGGAAAUAGUUCAAAAAUAUCACAAGAUUACAA
ensembl:lncRNA novel transcript